rnacentral:rRNA from 1 species
GAUGAACGCUAGCGGCAGGCUUAACACAUGCAAGUCGAGGGGCAGCGCGGAGUAGCAAUACUCUGGCGGCGACCGGCGGAAGGGUGCGUAACACGUGAGCGACUUGCCCGUCACAGGGAGAUAACCGCUGGAAACGGCGACUAAUAUCCCAUAUGAUGGCGAUCUGCAUGGAUUGUCAUUGAAAGAUUCAUCGGUGGCGGAUAGGCUCGCGGGGCAUUAGCUAGACGGCGGGGCAACGGCCCACCGUGGCGACGAUGCCUAGGGGUUCUGAGAGGAAGGUCCCCCACAUUGGAACUGAGACACGGUCCAAACUCCUACGGGAGGCAGCAGUGAGGAAUAUUGGUCAAUGGGCGUAAGCCUGAACCAGCCAAGUAGCGUGAGGGAAGACUGCCCUACGGGUUGUAAACUGCUUUUAGUUGGGAAUAAAAGGCGGUACGUGUACCGCGUAUUGUAUGUACCAUCAGAAAAAGGACCGGCUAAUUCCGUG